rnacentral:lncRNA from 1 species
AUGGCUCCCCAACCCGCCACUGUAACCGAGAGCGUUGUUCCUGAGCCUGCCGCUGUAAGCACGGUUUCAGAGGUUGCAAAAGGGAAGGCUGUUCCGAAGACUGCAGGAGAGACUGUUGUUCCUGAAACUACUGCAGUGAGGGAGGUUUCCGAACCAGUAACCGAGAGAGCAGUAUCUGAGUCUGCAGUGGUGAGAGCUGAGGAGAGAGGCGCGGUCGAUUCUGCUGCUAAAUCAGUCUUACAGUCUGUUUCAGCUCGUCAGGAGAUGCCUGUCGUCAUUGCUGGCAAGACCCUGUCGGAAUAUUUGUCACGCCUUGUCCAAAUCCUAGAGGUUCCUGUCAGACCUAUCUUGUCCCCAGACCCUGUCCCUAAAGCCGCAGAGAGCGCUGACCCCAAGCCGGCCACAGAGAGUGCUGCAGAGAGCGCUGACCCCAAGCCGGUUGCAGAGAGCGCUGACCCAGAGUCAGCUUCUAUCGACACCGCUACAGAGGCCGAGAUGCCGAGUGUCGAUUCGGUGUGGGGAAGCAUCGACUCUAGGUCUGCUUCUGUGAGCCCAGCACCUUUUUCCGCUCCACAGUUGCCUGCUGUACCCCCUGUCACAGUACAACCCCGGACUGUUUCUCCCAAGCUCCCUUCCCACUCUACGCCAUCCAGACCUGCCCGGACCCCUCGUCAUCAGCCAUCAUCCCGUCAACCUAAGACCUCCGCUCCACCCAUCCACCAUGGACUUCUCCCCACGAACUUUGUUAUCCCGCCUCCUCCCCUUCCUUGUUUAUUUCUGAUAUGUCACCCGAACCCUGUCGUUGUGUAUUCUUGUUUACCUUUAUUGUUAUUUGUCAUGUUUUGUUGGUUUGUGUCUGUGUCACAGUCAGUCAUGUCCCGCAUUUGAUGUCCCCUUGAGGAGCGUCUGGAAGCCGCUCCUUAAGGGAGGGGUUCUGUCAUGAUUCUGCCCUCUUGUCCUUGAUUUUUCUCUAGUCUUGAGGCAGGAUCAUGACAGACACGUGUUUAGUGUGCAAGCACAUGGCCUUGUCUUUGGGUCAUGUGCUUGUGUUGUCUCGUUCCCUUGCCCCGCCCCCUUGUACUCCUCGUUUUGUCAUUAUUGCUUUACCUGUGUCACCUGUUAUGUUAUCAUUAGUCUCCCUAUUUCAAUCCCCUUGUGUUCGCUGUCUGGUGUGGUUCAUUGUUGCACAUUGUCAAACCUGUGGAUUGUAUUGCUGUCGUGUGAUAACCAGAGUGAGGAGUCUUUUUGCUUUACUGUGUUUUCAGUCUAGUCAGAGUCUUGUUAAGUGUUCGUCUUUUCCCUAGUCGCUGUUUUACCCCCUUGUGGGUUUUGUUUUCCCUUUUUGUUCAGUAUAAACCUUGUGUGUAGUGCAUCCUGUCUGCGCUUGAGUUCAUCCCCGCAUCCUCGUGACAUAUUUCAAAUGUUUAUUUAUUUUAAUUUUGAUGAUUUAUAACUGACACUAGGAAAUCCCAAAUUCAGUAUCUCAGAAAUUGUAGACAUCUUGGAUUCUCGGACUAUUCUCCUGAACAAUGA